GCGAGGGGAUUUGCCUCAGUAACGGCGAGUGAAGCGGCAAGAGCUCAACUUUGGAAUCGCUCCGGCGAGUUGUAGUCUGGAGGUGGCCACCACGAGGUGUUCUAGCAGCAGGCAAGUCCUUUGGAACAAGGCGCCAGCGAGGGUGACAGCCCCGUACCUGCUUUUGCUAGUGCUUCCUGUGGCCCACCGACGAGUCGAGUUGUUUGGGAAUGCAGCUCUAAGUGGGUGGUAAAUUCCAUCUAAGGCUAAAUAUUGGCGAGAGACCGAUAGCGAACAAGUACAGUGAUGGAAAGAUGAAAAGCACUUUGAAAAGAGAGUGAAACAGUACGUGAAAUUGUUGAAAGGGAAGGGCUUGCACCCAGACACGGUUUCGGCCGGGCCAGCAUCAAGUAGAACGGGGUUAAAAGACUUGGGGAAUGUAGCUACUUCGGUAGUGUUAUAGCCCUUGGUGAUGACCCCUGUUUUGCUUGAGGACAGCGGUCUCUAGGAUGCUGGCGCAAUGGUUGCAAGCCACCCGUCUUGAAACACGGACCAA
rnacentral:rRNA from 1 species